AAUAUUUUUGCAAUCAAUCUUUUUUCGUUUUUGCAAAUCAAUGUUUUAUGAGGCAAACACGAAAUAUUUAAGAUUAUGCAGCUACAAUAUUGUUUUCUUUUAAAUAUGUAAAAAUUCAAAGUUCGUUUUAGAUAAUGCUUCGGAAAAAUGAUGGCUCAACAAUGCUCAUGGUAGCAUAUUCUGCUGGGAUUGCGCUUUAUCAGCUUUUGCCGUUCAUGAUUUUGCCGAAACUGAAGGAGUUGGUGACUUAUAUAAAUAAUUGGAUGAUUUAUGAAGUAAGAACAGAAUCAGUGCGUGCCACAAAGUUUACAUGGUGUGUAUUUUGGUUGCAGAGAGAACUCGAAUCUAAAUUAGGAGAAACAUUUAGCUCAUCAAAGCUAUCAAUGAGCAAGAAGAUCAAAUGUUUUUAUCUUUUUGGCUCAGCCUUUGUGUUCAUUAAUAUACUAGUCGACUUUCUUGUGCAUGCCUCCCCACCUAAAUUUGAUCAUCUCUUACAUGGAUUAGGACUGUAUUUUGUUUCAUUUGUAAUUUGCUUUUGGAUAAUUUCUUGUCGAUAUAUUUGCAUCGUGUCACAAAUUCUUCUUAGGACUUUGGAGAAAUCGGAGAUACUAAACGUGGCAUUCCCAAACAAGAGAACGGAAAAAUCAAUUCUCGGGCUUCGUAAUUUAUGGUUCUGUCUAAUUAGUGAUUUGGCUGCUCCACUAGGUAACAGUUUCUCCUAUGCAUGUGGGAUCGUAAUCGUGAACACCGUUGUGAAUAUAACAUAUUUUACACUACAAUUCGUAACAGUGUAUUCAAAAUUUGAAGAUGCAGGUUCAAGCAACUUCUAUCUUAUUUUCCUGGUACUUUUUUGUUCUCAACUCGUCAUCAUAUUUGUUGAAGCGGAAAAGGCACGGAUAACUGUAACUACAUCAAAGGAACAUAUUUUCAAUUUAAAAUCACGCAAUGGGCAAUUUCAGGUAUUAAACUGCCUUCAAGCAUCCAUUGAACAGACAACUUUCCUCAACACCAGAAAGCAGACGAAAAAAUUCGUAAAAAAUCUAUA